rnacentral:rRNA from 1 species
AGUGAACGCUGGCGGUAGGCCUAACACAUGCAAGUCGAACGGCAGCACAGUAAGAGCCUGCUCUUACGGGUGGCGAGUGGCGGACGGGUGAGGAAUACAUCGGAAUCUACUUUUUCGUGGGGGAUAACGUAGGGAAACUUACGCUAAUACCGCAUACGACCUACGGGUGAAAGCAGGGGAUCUUCGGACCUUGCGCGAUUGAAUGAGCCGAUGUCGGAUUAGCUAGUUGGCGGGGUAAGGGCCCACCAAGGCGACGAUCCGUAGCUGGUCUGAGAGGAUGAUCAGCCACACUGGAACUGAGACACGGUCCAGACUCCUACGGGAGGCAGCAGUGGGGAAUAUUGGACAAUGGGCGCAAGCCUGAUCCAGCCAUACCGCGUGGGUGAAGAAGGCCUUCGGGUUGUAAAGCCCUUUUGUUGGGAAAGAAAAGCAGCAGGUUAAUACCCCGCUGUUCUGACGGUACCCAAAGAAUAAGCACCGGCUAACUUCGUG